CACUUGUAACCGUAUCGUUCUACAAAUCUACAAAGGGCAAUCCCAGGAAGGCACCGUGUAGGUGAAACUUCCACGUAAGUAGGGGUGAAAAGGUAAUUGUGUUCAAAACAGCGUGAAAUGUUCUGGAAGCCACCAAGAUAAAAAGGCCACGCAAGGACGCAAGGGAGAUUCUAACCAGGUCCGCAGCAGCGAUAACAAUACGCAAGAAAAAGGUUAUAUCAACAAUUGUUUGCUGAAUUGGAUGACAUACAUUGGGUUUGGUUUGGUUUGGUCUCCCAGCCUCCCCAAUUUGUUUUGGUCUUCUCUCUAUGUUUUUUUCUCCCUUUCGCAAUUGCUUUUCCUUUCUCCAUUGUUUGUUGCUAUGAAAUAUAUGACUUUUGCAUCAAGCAUUUUUUUAAUAGACAAAAGUUUGUAUUAAGAAGCACCAAAAAAGGGGGUGCCCCCAAUGUCUACAGGCAGUAUACACAAAAAAACAACCCAAGCACCAGAAAAGAAAGAAGAAACCUAGAAAAGAGCAAGACUAACACCAUAAAGAGACUUCAGAAAAUUCAGAUGUGGGGGAAUCUCCAAGUCCAGCAACUAUUUGGACCACUCCACAAGGGAUCUGAAAAAGAGAACCCUCAGCCUUUGGUCCAACAAUUCUUCGUCUUUGAAAAUCCUUCGGUUGCGCUCUCCCCAAAUACACCAAAAUAGACAAAUUGGAGCCAGUUGCCAAAUUGCUCUUUUCUUCUUCCCUAGUCCCUUGAAUUUCUAUUCUAGGAGAAGAUUUUCACUGAAGCCGGGAACACCCAAACCAAACCAAAAGUUGUUAACAACAAUAUCCAAAGUUGUCUUGUCCUAUCACAAUGAAUCGAAAUAUGAUCAACUGACUUUUCACUAUCUUUACAAAGACUACAUCUAUUAACCAAGGACCAUCCCCUCUUUAUCAACAUAUCUACAGUUAAUAUCUUCCCCCACACUGCUUUCCCAAAAAAAAAAAAAACGAGUUUUGAGAGGAGCGCCUGAUCGCCAAACCUCUUUAGCUAGAAAUAAAAGAUUGUUCUUAGCCCUUAGAGAGAUAUAAUAAGACUUGACACUAUACUUUCCCUUCCCUUCAUGUUUCCAAAUUAAAGUGUUCUCUCCUUCUUGCACUUUUGAAGAAGAGACGUGUUCCAAAAACCAAGACACCUCCUCUAACUCCUAAUCUUGGAAGGGUCUUCUAAAAGACACCUCCCAACAUCCACCUCCACCCCUUCCCAACAUCCACCUCCACCCACUCCCAUACCCCAUAAAUGUGCCAUUGUUGCAUUCUUGUGGGAAGAAAGCCUUAAUAGAGUUGGGUAAACAUCCUUAAAUUUAAUCUCCCCAACCCAACUAUCCCACCAAAAUCUUGUGCAUCUACCGUUUCCAAUUCAGAUGUUGGUUCUAAGAGUGAACUUUCCCCAACCUUUUCUAAUGUCUUUCCAAAGACUUAGCCUCUAAGAAUCCCUCACCUCUCUAGUGGUCUAACACCCCUCCACCUCCCAAAAUUUUCCGAAAAUGACUUUUCUCCAAAGGCAUUCCCUCUCAAGGGAGAAUCUCCAUAGCCAUUUGCCUAACAAGGCUUGAUUAAGACCCUCAAGUGCCUUAACCCCAAUCCUCCUCUUAUCCUUACAAACCUCCACCCAAUUUACCAAGUGAAACUUCCUCCUCUCUUUCAUAUCCUCCCAAAAAAAGUUCCUUUGAAUUCUCUCUAAUCUGGUUCUCACUUUCUUAGGGAUUACAAAGAGCCACAUAAAAUAGAUCGGGAGGCUUGAGAGAGUACUUUUAAUAAGGACGAGUCUUCCUCUUGUGGAUAGAUACUGUUUUUUCCACGCAGCCAAUUUCCUCUUGAAUCUCUCCUCUAUUACAUCCCAAACACCAAUUGAUCUAUGUGGGGCUCCAAGUGGUAAACCUAGAUAAGAAGUAGGAAAUCUCCUCACUUUGCAUCCAAACAGGACAACAACUCUGUCCACAUCCUCCAUACUCCCUAUUGGAAUGAUUUCACUUUUUUGUAGAUUUAUCUUAAGUCUUGAAACCAACUCAAAGCAAGUGACAAUUCAUUUUCAAUAUUUCAGUUGGUCUUCAUCAUCCUCGCAGAAAAGGAAAGUAUCGUUUGCGAAUAAUAAAUGAGAAACUUGAACCCCUUCUCCCCCUCUACCUUCUAACUUAACACCCCUAAUAAAACCUCCCUCCUCAGCCUUGGCAAUUAAUUUGCUAAAAGCUUUCAUAAUCAACACAAAUAGGUAAGGUGAGAGUGGGUCCCCUUGCCUCAUCCCCCUGUGUUGAGAAAAAAUUUGUGGGAGUGUCAUUAACAAAAACAACCAUUCUUACAGUAGAAAUGCAAUAGAGGAUCCAUUGUCUCCAUUUGGGGCCAAAACCCAUUUUCUCUAAAACCGAAAGAAGGAAAUUCCAGUUUACAUUUUCGUAAGCUUUUUCUAUAUCCAACUUGCAGACGAGCCCUACGUUAGACCUUUGUUUCCAUGAGUCGAUUGCCUUAUUUGCUACCAAGGCUGCAUCCAGAAUCUGUCUACCCCCCACAAAAGCAUUCUGGUUGUUCGACACCACUUUGUCAAUCAUCCUCUUCAAUCUACUAGCUAGGACUUUUGCAGGAAUUUUGUAGAGAGCCCCCACAAGACUAAUUGGCCUGAAAUCCGAUAUGUCCCCUACCCCUCCUUUCUUUGGGAUGAGGAUUAAAAAGGUUGCAUUGAGGCUACUAACUACGACAUUCUACGAAUGGAAUUCCUCUAAUACCUGCAUCACUUCCCCACCUACUAUAGGCUAGCAAAACUUCUAGAAAGCCAACGAGAACCCAUCUAGCCCUGGCGCCUUAUCACCCCCCAAUUCUGACAAUGCUUUGGUCAUCUCAGCCUCUAAAAACGGACCCUCCAAUCCCUCAUUAUCCGUGGCGUCAAUCCUCAUAAAUAACUCUGAAUCCACAUCAGGUCUUCUCACUUGGGGUUCUUCAAACAAAGCUUUGAAGUAGGAACCAAUCCCCUCUUUAAGCUCCUCUUUUUCCAAACGAACCCCCCCAACAGUAAGGCUGUUGAUAAAGUUUCCUCUUCUCCUUUCAUUAGCCAUGCGAUGAAAAACCUUGUGUUAUUAUCCCCUUCCUUCAGCCAGAGGGCCCUUGAUUUUUGCCUCCAAGAGGUUUCUUCUAGGAUGGCUAAAUGAAUAUACUCAUCUUUUGCUGACCUUUGACUUCUCCUAUCCUCAUCAGAGAGGGGUCUUAGCCUUUCAGCAUUAUCCCAGUAGCUUAUCUGCUCUAAAGCAGCAUCCUUCCUAGCUGAAACAUUUCCAAGCACCUCUUUAUUCCACUUCUUUAGGUCGAUUUUCAAAGCUUGUAAUUUCUUGGCAAGCACAAAGCUAGGACUGCCCCUGAAAUUGCAAGUUUGCCACCAUUCUUUAAUUCUAUCCGCAAAGCCUUCAACCCUUAGCCACUUGUUUUCAAAUCUAAAUGGAUCCUUUUCUCACUCCUCCGCGAUCUAAGAAAAUGGGGCAGUGAUCAGAGACGGGUCUCGGCAGCAAAAGUUGUUUCACCUCAGAAACAAGAUCCUCCCAGUUGCCAGAGAAUAAGUGGUCCAACCAAGCCUUGAGCAAGCCACCGUGCCCUCCACUCCCAGUGUAACCUCCUCCCCCCAGAGGUGGGUCUACGAGCAUUUUCACAUUCAUCAAAUCCAUCAUUUGUUGUUAAGGCUUUGUAUUUUCCAGAUUAUGGAAUUGUAUUCCAGGGCUUACGUUAAAAUUAGUUUACUUGGGAGAGAUUUGUUUUUAUGACAACUGAAAAAGAUAGCUUGCGCUAGGGAUCAGUGGCUUUUGUUUCUAUCCAUCUUUAAAAAGUUACUUUAGAGGUUAAAUUAGAGGAAAUUAAGAGGGUAACUCCAAAAUUUAUACCAACAGGGUCGACAAGGCUGUUUAAUUGCACUUCAGGUCUUAUUUAAGGUUACUCCUUUUUCUGUUCCUAGAUUUAUAUCAAUAAUAAAAGAUCUGGGAACAACUAUGAAUUCAUGUUGCUUCAUUCUGGAACAUAUUUUGGGUUGGAAAUGCCUGAUUUUGAUAGUGAAGAAAGAUAUUCCACAUGAAAGAUGACCCACUUGUAGGAUUUCCUACUUGACCUGACUAAUUUAUGUGUUGCUAACUGUCUAGAUAAAAAAUUUCUUUCUGACCUCCUUAAGAUAUAAUUUUUUUUUUUUUGAUAGACAAGACCUAAGAUAUAAUAUGAGUCCUUAAUUUCUUAGAGGACCAAAAGGCCCAAUUUAUGUUUGUGCAGAUGUUGGAGGCAUAGCAGUUGGUAUAUACCUUGUAGUGAGGUUGACUGAAGGUUUUUCUUUUCUUUUGUUUGUUGUAUUUCCCUUUGUUGUCUUCAAUUUCUCUGACAGAAUCUAUGUUUGAAUCAGGAGGGGGGACUUAACAUUUGAUGGAUAACAAAGCACCUGGCCAGGAGGGUUCUUUGGAGCUAGCCCGUGAGUUGCUCAUUGCAAUCUCUUAUUGCACACCAGAAAAGGUUCUUAGUCUGAAUUGUACACCUGCAGAUUUUAAUGUUGCAAAUGGGGUUGUACUGACUGAUGGUGAUGGAGCUGAGAAGUUCAGGUCUAAAUUGAUUUCAAUUUCCUAUGCACAGUCGCCAGAUAGUAAAGUGUUACCAGUUGAUUAAGCAAUCUGAAAGGUUUGUUAGGACAAGUUAAAUUUCAUGAAUAACUAAAUAACUCUUGGAAAAGGCUCUUACGGUUUGUUGUGUGUGAGACCUUAUACUGUAUGCUGGUGUAACAGUUUGUUUAUAAUUGUCCCUAUGCUACAGAGUUCAGUUACAUUUGUAAAUGUAUGGUCUGGUUGGCUUUGGAGACUAUAUAAAUGGAAUUUGGUGCAAUAUUCUUACUUA